AGAGAUGUGUGAUGACGCAUAUCAAUAAGCGGAGGAAAAGAAACUAACAAGGAUUCCCCUAGUAACGGCGAGUGAAGCGGGAAGAGCUCAAAUUUGAAAUCUUCAAGGUUCUACCUUGACGAAUUGUAGUUUAUAGAAGUGUUUUCUGUUAGUAGAGUGGCAAAAGUUCUUUGGAAUAGGACAUCAUAGAGGGUGAGAAUCCCGUAUUUGGUCAUUCCUUCUAGCGUUGCUGAUACACUUUCAACGAGUCGGAUUGUUUGGGAAUGCAGUCCAAAAUGGGUGGUAAAUUUCAUCUAAAGCUAAAUAUUGGCGAGAGACCGAUAGCGAACAAGUACCGUGAGGGAAAGAUGAAAAGAACUUUGAAAAGAGAGUUAAACAGUACGUGAAAUUGUCAAAAGGGAAGCGUUUGACACCAGUGUUGUUUUUCCGAAAAUCAAUUACGAAUGUUUUAGUUUUUGAGGAGUUAUGACUUCAUCGGCUUGCUCCUUUCUUUACGAAACUUUCUUAAUGCACUUUUCGGUUAACAAGUCAACAUCAAUUUCUUUUGUUGUAAAAGGGUAUGAGGAAGGUGGCUUUCUUUUCGGAGAAAGUGUUUAUAGCCUUGUAGCCUCUGCAAUCGGAGAGAUUGAGGUCUGCAGCGUAGAUCCUUCGGGGUUAGAUACAUUUGUGCUAAGUUAUAGCUUUUCAUAGACAACUUGUUGACUAUGUUUAGUCCUUGUAGCUUACUCGCUUAUGCUAUUUUACCUACGCUUAGGAUGUUGACGAUCAGCUGAGCGCG
rnacentral:rRNA from 1 species